GUACUUUUUGUCUCCCUUCUGUAACCUGAAGACAUGAACUACAACUUUAAAGAUGUUAUUUAUGACAGACGAACCAUCUCUUUUUGAUGGGCUGUUCAUCGCACAAGAUGCCAAAGUGUCUGCCUUUGUUGACCAAAUAAGAAGCCAGAUGUGCAGUAGGACAGGUCAUGAUGUCUGUGGUCCGGCAACAUUUACAGCAGGCAGAGAAACAUCUCAGAAGUCCAGGGCCAAGGUGGAUGAAGAGGGCCUUGAAAUAGCUGUGUGCAGACAUGGAAUCUUGCUGCAAGGCUUAAAUCACUAUCGUGGUGAAAUAUAUGCCUACCCAAUGUUCCUGCAGAAGGAGCUGGCACAAGUUGCAAAUGCAACAUUCUUUUGUAUGGACAUUACCUGCAGGUAG
rnacentral:lncRNA from 1 species